AUAAGCUUACACAUUUCACAGAGGCCUGUGAAAUGUAUCUCCUCAUGUGUCAUAAAUCUUUUUUAAUUACUCUGUUGCUGUGCAGGGAUGUGUGUGUGUGUGCGCUGUUUGUCUAUGGGAAGUUUAAGAGCUCAAGGUGACUGCAAAUUUAUGAUAGUUGCAUUCUUGUGGGUUUUUGUAACAGGAAGAACUGUGUCCACUCAGAGGACACCCGGCCUUGAGAAGAUUAACUGUCUCUGUAUAACAACUUUACUUGUCUUGUGAAACCUCUUUCCCCCUCCCUAUGUGUGAAACUCAAUAAAAUGUGUGGUUUUGGGGGGGCUCGGAGAGAGUCUUACGUGCGGGUGUGGAGGAUAUGUUCUGCUCCUCCAAGCUCUCCCUAAACUGCAGUUUAGUAAAAAAUAACUCUGCCUCUGUCUCAAUCAUUUUAUCCCGGUGUCGUGACCUUUCGGUCCACAUUGAGCGAGAAGUCCGUGCUUUGGACCUAACAUUUUCUCUGGUGCCGAAACCCGGGAACCAACAGCUUGACGCCUGGAACGACGCGAGAUCAACGAGACCAAGAAUCUGGUACCAGUGUCCUCCAUUGAAGGAUCGGUCGCAUCGCUGAUCCAGCGCCGGACCGGACUGUCGGGUGACGGGUCCCAACGGACCAGGGCCACGGCACUGAGAGGAAUCGGUGACUCCAGGAGACCAGGUGCUGAUAAAGGUCAUCAAGAGGAAGUGCUGGUCCACCCCGAGGUGGGAAGGCCCAUUCACAGUGCUCCUGACCACACCCACAGCCGUCAAAAUCGCGGAGAGAGAGAUGUGGAUUCAAAAGUCCCACACCAAAAAGGUCCAUCCUGUCACUUAAAGCAGCUACUAUGGUAACGACCCGGUAUAAAUACUGACUGAUUUCCUACUGUCUACGGGUGCGGUACUGAGAACCAAACCCCACCGGUGAGGACAUGUGCUAGUAACCCCUGUCCUCCGCUUUCUUUCCCUCUUUAUUUAGGUUUACUGUGUUCUCUGCCAUUUUUUAUUUUAUUCCCUUCUCAGCCAGGCCAUGAGGCUGUCGCUCCAAGCGGAGGGCAGGGGAGGAAUUUUUCCCUAUUAAGAGGGUUUUCGCCUCCCCCUGACAGGGUACCUAUGUUGUGCAUUAUUAUGAUGUUGUGCUCUAAAACCUGUUAUAGGACUGAGUUCAAUUGAUGUUCCAAAAAUCCACAACAGGGGGGAAAUGUAAGAUAAGCUUACACAUUUCACAGAGGCCUGUGAAAUGUAUCUCCUCAUGUGUCAUAAAUCUGUUUUAAUUACUCUGUUGCUGUGCACGGAUGUGUGUGUGUGCGCUGUUUGUCUAUGGGAAGUUUAAGAGCUCAAGGUGACUGCAAAUUUAUGAUAGUUGCAUUCUUGUGGGUUUUUGUAACAGGAAGAACUGUGUCCACUCAGAGGACACCCGGCCUUGAGAAGAUUAACUGUCUCUGUAUAACAACUUUACUUGUCUUGUGAAACCUCUUUCCCCCUCCCUAUGUGUGAAACUCAAUAAAAUGUGUGGUUUUGGGGGGGGGCUCGGAGAGAGUCUUACGUGCGGGUGUGGAGGAUAUGUUCUGCUCCUCCAAGCUCUCCCUAAACUGCAGUUUAGUAAAAAAUAA